rnacentral:rRNA from 1 species
CGCACCUACCGAUUGAAUGUUUCGGUGAAGAUUCCGGACCGUGACGAGCGCGCUUCACGGCGCUCUCGUCGUGGGAAGUUAUCUAAACCUCAACAUUUAGAGGAAGGUGAAGUCGUAACAAGGUUUCCGUAGGUGAACCUGCGGAAGGAUCAUUA